ACCCCCCACUCCCCGGGACGGGCCCGUCUGCCCAGGCAGCGCCCGCGGGGGAAGGCUCCGGGCCUGCUCACGGGCGGAAGCCUCGGCUGCCUCGUGGGAGCGUCGGAGGCCGCCGGAGGGCUCAGCGUGGCACCCGGCGGGCUCACUUGAUAAGCUGUGUAGCAGUAGGAGUUGAGUUGCUGAGAAGGGGUCUGUGUGCCCUUGACCCCGUCCCUGGGCCUCUGCGUUCCGGGAGGCCGGGUGACCUCUUCAACAGGAGGGUUUCUUAGGGGUGAGCACAGCCCUCCGUGCAGCCCUCACCAGCGCCUCCCGGUGGUGCCUGGGAAGUCGGGGGUGGGGGGGACAGGGCCCGCACCAGGGCUCGCUGGCUGCAGCCGACCCUCAGAGCAGGCGGGAGAGCCCUCCUGCCCAGCCUUUCCGGGGGCAGAGACGGCCUGGGCACCCCACCCACUACACGGGGCCCCAGCCUGGGCCUCCGAGCUCGCCAGAACUCCGCAGCUUCAGAGACGGCCUGGGCACCCCGCCCACUACACGGGGCCCCAGCCUGGGCCUCCGAGCUCGCCAGAACUCCGCAGCUUCACCUGCGUCCACACCACAGCAAGCAGUGAGCUCCAGCUAGGCUGAGCCAGCCCUUGUGAACUGUGAUUUGCAUAAACACUCCGAAUGCAUUAUAUCUAACUUGUUCAUCUGACUGGAUGGUUGUAGCGCACUUGGUGCUGUGUCUCCGGAGGGCUGCACCCCCACACAGACGCCGUUCCAUGGUUGCGUCUCUCUGAGCAGCUCCUUACGUUGUCCGAUCCCGGACUGUGGCCGCUCUGUGCCCUCCUCACCCUGGAAGAUUCUCUUCAUUCGACUGCGGGCUUCGCGGGGCCACGUGGUCCGUGCAUCGCUCUGGUUGAUGUCUCUUUCAACUGUUCUCUUAACUGUGUCGGAGUCCCAAAGCCACUCCUCCCCCCCCCCUUUUUUUUUUUUGACAGGCAGAGUGGACAGUGAGAGAGAGACAGAAAGGUCUUCCUUUUGCCGUUGGUUCACCCUCCAAUGGCCGCCGCAGCCGGCGCGCUGCGGCCGGUGCACCGCGCUGAUCCGAUGGCAGGAGCCAGGUACUUAUCCUGGUCUCCCAUGGGGUGCAGGGCCCAAGCACCUGGGCCAUCCUCCACUGCACUCCCGGGCCACAGCAGAGAGCUGGCCUGGAAGAGGGGCAACCGGGACAGAAUCCGGCGCCCCGACUGGGACUAGAACCUGGUGUGCCGGCGCCGCAGGUGGAGGAUUAGCCUAGUGAGCCACAGCACCGGCCUCCCUUCCCUUUAAAAAAAAAAAAAAGUUUUAAUUUUGUUUGGGGGGUAGAGAUCUUCCAUCCACCGGUUCCUUGCCCAGAUGCUCACAACGUCCAGGCCAAGUUGACACCGGGAGCCUGGACCUCCGUCCGGUCUCGCAUGGUGGCAAGGACCCGGGCACUUGAGCCACCACGGCCGCCUUGCAGGUGCACAGUAGCAGGGACUGAGCAGCCAGGACUUGGGCCCCAGGCAUCCUGUGCAGGACGCAGGCAGCCAAGAGGCAGCUCGCUGCGCCAAACGCCUGCCCCGCCCUUUCUUCUUCUCUUUAAAAUAUUUAUUUAUUCACUAGAAAGGCAGAGUUACGGAGAAAGAGAGGUACAGAGAGGUCUUCCAUCCAUUGGUUCACUCCCCAAACGGUCACAACAGCCGACACUGGGCCAGGCUGAAGCCAGGAGCCCAGAGCUCCGUCUGGAUCUCCCACAUGGGUGCAGGGCCCAGGUCCUUGAGCCACCACGGCCGCCUCGCAGGUGCACAGUAGCAGGAAGCUGGAUCGGAAGCAGAGGCAGAACUCAAACCCCGGCCUGCAGGUGUCUCGAGUGGCAAGCUCAGCCUGCCAAGCCACGCCCACUCUCCACUCCUUUUACAAUUUCUUUGAUUUUAUUUUACUUAAGUGGCAAACAGAGGGCUUCCAACCACUGAGUCACUCCCCAGAUGGCUGCGACAGCCAGGGCUGGGCCAGGCCAAAGCCAGGAGCCUGGAGCUCCCUCCAGGUCUCCACCAACCACUGGAGCCAUCGCCUGCCGCCCUGCGGAUGCCCUCCGCAAGGAAGCUGGGAUUCGGAGCAGAGCCAGCCUCCAGGACGGGCACUCCGGCGCGGGAUGCGGGUGCCGGGGCGGCUGCACCAGAGUGCCGUGUUGGCAGAGCGCUGUGACGGCCCAGCUUCAUGCAUCACUAGGCUCAUUGGCCGCUGCUUUUCUUCUCUCGACGGUUUGAGUUUAUUUGGGUUCUACGGCACGUGUACCUGGUUCCGACACCGGAACCGUCGAUGAAGAGGGCGGGCAUGUAGCGUCGCAGUUGACACCGCUCGGGACACCUGCGCCCACGUUGGCUGGGUUCCGGUUCCAGCCCCACUCCCCAUUCCCGUUUGCUGUGGUUGUGCCCCUGGGAGCCAGCAGGUGGGUCCCUGCCAGCCGUGCGGGAGGCCCAGCUGAGUUCUAGGUUCUUGGCGUUGGCCUGGCCCAGCCCCAGCUGCUGCAGGCAUCCGGCUGUGACCAGAGACGGGCGUCUGUCUCUCUGCCCACAGGCAGUAGGCAGGUAGCAGGCAGGUAGCAGGUAGAUAGUAGGCAGGUAGUAGGCAGGUAGUAGGCAGGCGGUAGGCAGGUGUAGGCAGGCAGUAGGCAGGUGUAGGCAGGUGUAGGCAGGUGGUAGGCAGGUGUAGACAGGUGUAGGCAGGUGUAGGCAGGCGGUAGGCAGGUGUAGGCAGGUGUAGGCAGGCAGUAGGCAGGUGUAGGUAGGUGUAGGCAGGUGUAGGCAGGUGUAGGUAGGUGGUAGGCAGGUGUAGACAGGUGUAGGCAGGUGUAGGCAGGUGGUAGGCAGGUGUAGGCAGGUGUAGACAGGUGUAGGCAGGUGUAGGCAGGUGUAGGCAGGUGUAGACAGGUGUAGGCAGGUGUAGGCAGGUGUAGGCAGGUGUAGACAGGUGUAGGCAGGUGUAGGCAGGUGUAGACAGGUGUAGGCAGGUGUAGGCAGGUGGUAGGCAGGUGUAGGCAGGUGUAGGCAGGUGUAGGCAGGUAACAGGCAGUAGACAGGCGGUAGGCAGGUGUAGGCAGGUGUAGACAGGUGUAGGCAGGUGUAGGCAGGCGGUAGGUGACACAGAUGCCUGACAGUGGUGAGGAGGCUGCAGGCGUCUCCCUCCCUUUCCGCUGAGGAUGACCUUUCACCAGCUGUCCUGCCAGUGUCUGAGAACUGCCUGCACAGAUUUGCGUGGCGCUAGGUUGUCGGUAGGUCUGUUUAAAGGGCCCCUUUUGGGGUUUCCUCAAACUCCUCUGCAGCUCUCUUCUCUCUACUCCUGGCUACCCCCAUGACCACCGUCCUCCCACCCCGACUCCCCCCACCCAAAGCUGAGGGAGGGUCCCGCGGGUGCCCCUGGCUGCAGAAGCCCUGAGAGCUCGCGUUUGUGCUUUUACCGGACGCCGCUGAGCGUGGGAGGGAUUCUCAGCUCUGUCUGCCCUGCAGCACGGCACGGCGACCUGAGUGUCGCCCGGCCCCGGCCCACGUGUCACCUUAGCUCCCAGCGCUCUGGGAUGCAGGGACCUGGCACCGUGAAAGGGGCCUUUGAAACCGGCGGGAGGCAGAGCGCAUCCUGGAACAUCCCGGGCCCUGCCUGCCCGAGCUGCCUCCCAGCCGCUGCAUCAGGCAGAGGGGCCGCGGUUGACGCCGAGGGGCCGUGGCUGACGCCGAGGGGCCGCGGCUGACGCCGAGGGCGUGCGCCCAGCAGCCCUGCGCCCGCGGGGAGUGUCCAGGGGAGCAGACCCGGGCGCUGCCUCCUGCGCUUG